CCUACGGGAGGCUGCAGUGGGGAAUAUUGCACAAUGGGGGAAACCCUGAUGCAGCGACGCCGCGUGAAGGAAGAAGUAUUUCGGUAUGUAAACUUCUAUCAGCAGGGAAGAAAAUGAUGGUACUUGACUAAGAAGCGCCGGCGAACUACGGCCCAGCAGCCGCGGGAAUACGUAGGGGGCACGCGUUAGCCGGAUUUACUGGUGGUAAAGUGAGUGUAGGCGGCGAUGCAAGUCAGAAGUGAAAGCCCGGGGUUCAGCUCCGGGACUGCUUUUGAAACUGUGUUGCUAGAGUGCAGGAGAGGUAAGUGGAAUUCCAAGUGUAGCGGUGAAAUGCGUAGAGAUUAGGAGGAACACCAGUGGCGAAGGCGGCCUACUGGAC
rnacentral:rRNA from 1 species